GAUGGACGCUGGCGGCGUGCCUAAUACAUGCAAGUCGAACGCUGAAGGAGGAGCUUGCUCUUCUGGAUGAGUUGCGAACGGGUGAGUAACGCGUAGGUAACCUGCCUGGUAGCGGGGGAUAACUAUUGGAAACGAUAGCUAAUACCGCAUGACAACAGUUAUUGCAUGAUAACUGUUUAAAAGGGGCAACUGCUCCACUACCAGAUGGACCUGCGUUGUAUUAGCUAGUUGGUGAGGUAACGGCUCACCAAGGCGACGAUACAUAGCCGACCUGAGAGGGUGGUCGGCCACACUGGGACUGAGACACGGCCCAGACUCCUACGGGAGGCAGCAGUAGGGAAUCUUCGGCAAUGGACGGAAGUCUGACCGAGCAACGCCGCGUGAGUGAAGAAGGUUUUCGGAUCGUAAAGCUCUGUUGUAAGAGAAGAACGAGUGUGAGAGUGGAAAGUUCACACUGUGACGGUAGCUUACCAGAAAGGGACGGCUAACUACGUG
rnacentral:rRNA from 1 species